rfam:Sus scrofa chromosome X.
UCUCUGGUGGUCUAAUGGUUAGGACUCAGUACUUUCACUGCUGUAGCCUGGGUUCAAUCCCCGGUCUGAGAA